AGUACCAGAGAGCUGUGGUGAAAGACUAGAGUUUUAGGAGAGCUGAACUUGGGGAGGAGAGUGGCCGCUUGCAGCUGGCAUAGAGAACUUCCUAUGCCCAUGAGUUCCACCAGGACCCACUCCUCCAGGAAGCCCUCCUACACCACACUAUUUGGAAGGCCACUGGGGUUGGGGUCCUGCUGCCCCAUAGGCCCUGCUUUCUCUCCCAUGGCCCUUCUCCAGCAAGGACAGUGGGUCAGGCUCAUGGAAUAGCUGCAGAAGCCAUACCUCAUCAGGCCUCGGUUUCUCCAUCUGCCAAAUACGAAAAGGAAUCCUUGGCCUGGCUUCCUCCUAGGAGGAAAGGGGCAGGGGGGCUAUCAACAAAUCGACAGUGUCCCGUGGGGCUGGGGUGGGGCACCGCCUGAUGGUACAUGUCUGGGCUGCUGAGGGUCCUCAUGCUCCCUCCUUUGCAGGAGGGGAUGUGCCGUGAAAGUGGCUCCUGGUCAGCUGUCCUGGCCAUCCCACAGUCCCGGAGGAGGUCAGCAGACUUCAGCCAGGGUCUCAUGGAGCUGUAGGGAACACAAUGGCCCCACCCCAUGCAGACAGUAGGGCAUCCCCAGGAAGAGUCUCAGGGCUGGUGACAGCCUGAGAAGUGAAAGGGAGAAGCAGGACGCUGAGCAACGUUGGAGGAGAAGCAAGAUAACACUGUGCUUAGUGAAGGGGCUCCUAGCUUCACCACUGGCUGGCACAUGACUGGACCGCUCUGUGCCUCAGUUUCCUCAUCUGUGAAAAGAAGAGAGU
rnacentral:lncRNA from 1 species